UACGUAGGGGGCGAGCGUUGUCCGGAAUGACUGGGCGUAAAGUGUGUGUAGGCGGUUUAUUAAGUUAGAAGUGAAAUACCUAGGGCUUAACCCAGGUGCUGCUUCUAAAACUGAUAGACUUGAGUGCAGUAGAGGAAAGUGGAAUUCCUAGUGUAGCGGUGGAAUGCGUAGAUAUUAGGAGGAACAUCAGUGGCGAAGGCGGGUUCCUGGACAUUAACUGACGCUGAGGCACGAAGGCCAGGGGAGCGAAAGGG
rnacentral:rRNA from 1 species